UAUAAUCUAUAGAUAUCCUUUCUUCCUUCCUUCCUUGUGAAAGCACAGAAUGUGAGAAUUCUGUAUCUAGACAGCACAGAGGCUGAAAAUUAUGACCUAUAAAUUGAUUUUGUUAAAAAGAAGUUUAUAGAUAUUUAAAUCAGUCACCCUGAUUAGUGUUUUAUAAUGUAAAUUUGGUAUUACUGAGGUCGCAGGGAUUGUAAAGGAAAUGAUGUCACUGUCACUGCGGGAACCACCCUGUGGUAACAAAAGAUGCCUUUCCUUUUCUGUCUGACCUGGUGAGCCUCUGUCCUGAGCUGACCCUGCCAUGGAUACCAGGCUCCUCUCCUGGGUUACCCUCUGUCUUCUAGGGACAGAUCACACUGAAGCUGGAGUCUCCCAAUCCCCCAGUUACAGGGUCAUAAAGAAGGGACAGAAUGUAGCUUUCAGGUGUGACCCAAUAUCUGGUCAUAGUUUUCUUUACUGGUACCAACAGACCCUGGGACAAGGCCCAAAGUUCCUAAUGUACUUCCAGGAUGAACGUCCAGCAGACACCUCAGGGAUGCCUCCUGAGCGGUUCACUGCUGAGAGGCCUGAGGCCACCUUCUCCAAUCUGAAGAUCGAGGGUGCACAGCAGGGGGAUUCAGCUGUGUAUCUCUGUGCAAGCAGCCACAGUGAGCCGCAGCCACCUCCUUCCUGUUCACAAACCUCCUUGUCUCCUGGCAGUCCCUAGAGCCCCUAAAGAAAGUUGAGAGUAUGCUGUCUUUUGCGUAGAAAGUUACCACAGAAGAGCUCGGCAAGCGCUCUGGCUGUAAACAUGGGUGGAAGGAAUCCCUAAAGACCUGUUGGGUUCUAGAAGUCCUGAGCCAGUCCAACACUGCUGGUGAAGAUUGGAUGUCUUAGCACUGGCGAUCAGAGCAGCCACAGGCGGCUUGUUCUGUGACUUUGAAGUUGUUGCUCACCUGCAUCAGCUUGGGUCAUGCACAGUGUACCUGUCCUCGGCCCACCCCAUCUGCUGACACAUCCGGCUGCUGAAAGGCUGGAGGCUGCACAUACACUCCCUGUUUAGGACCCUCUUUUAUCACUGUCAAGGUGAAAGUUUUCUGCAACAUAGCAAAUUUGUUUUCCAUUUUGAAGUUAAAGUCUUUGCUGCAUUUGUGACAAUAAAUUA